CCAUGAAGCAACAUCAUCGUCUUUGACCUCGGAUCAGGUAGGGAUACCCGCUGAACUUAAGCAUAUCAAUAAGCGGAGGAAA
rnacentral:rRNA from 1 species